rnacentral:rRNA from 1 species
AAAGUGGAGCAAUCCAUGAGUAAAGUGGCGACCGGGUGAGUAACACGUGACUAACCUACCUCCGAGUGGGGAAUAACUCCGGGAAACCGGGGCUAAUACCGCAUAACAUCGCAAGAUCAAAGCAGCAAUGCGCUUGGAGAGGGGGUCGCGGCUGAUUAGCUAGUUGGCGGGGUAACGGCCCACCAAGGCGAAGAUCGGUAUCCGGCCUGAGAGGGCGCACGGACACACUGGAACUGAAACACGGUCCAGACUCCUACGGGAGGCAGCAGUGGGGAAUUUUGCGCAAUGGGGGAAACCCUGACGCAGCAACGCCGCGUGGAGGAUGAAGCCCUUUGGGGCGUAAACUCCUUUCGACCAAGACGAUAAUGACGGUACUGGUGGAAGAAGCACCGGCUAACUCUGUGCCAGCAGCCGCGGUAAUACAGAGGGUGCGAGCGUUGUUCGGAAUUAUUGGGCGUAAAGGGCGCGUAGGCGGUGCCACAAGUCACUUGUGAAAUCUCCGGGCUUAACUCGGAGCCUGCAGGCGAAACUGUGGUGCUGGAGUGUGGGAGAGGUGCGUGGAAUUCCCGGUGUAGCGGUGAAAUGCGUAGAUAUCGGGAGGAACACCUGUGGCGAAAGCGGCGCACUGGACCAUAACUGACGCUGAGGCGCGAAAGCUAGGGGAGCAAACAGGAUUAGAUACCCUGGUAGUCCUAGCCCUAAACGAUGAUUGCUUGGUGUAGCAGGUACCCAAUCCUGCUGUGCCGCAGCUAACGCGAUAAGCAAUCCGCCUGGGGAGUACGGUCGCAAGGCCGAAACUC